rnacentral:misc_RNA from 1 species
UUAAGUUCAGCGGGUAGUCCUACCUGAUUUGAGGUCAAGUUUGUCAAAGAGCGGCGUUGGAAGCAGCAACAUUUAUGCGGCAUACCCAAAGGCAUAGAUGAAUGUUAUCAACACCUAGCGGUUUCCGCUCCAGAUACCACUGAUGAUUUUCAAGGGAGCAGGUUUUCUGAUCAAAAGCCUGCAAAAAGCCCUCAAGUCCA